GCUGGGUUGGAUAUCACAUUGCAUCUUUGUGGGAUUAAGAGAAAAACAGCAACAAAAAUCAGCCCCAUGAAGUUAAUGGACCUUUAAUAGGAUUAAAAGGAAGCAAGAGUGAACAGAACCCCUCUUCUGUGAUGCACCGAGCCACUACAAACAGAAGCACCAGGACUAGUGACCAUGGACUGAGACCUCUGAAUUCCUGAGCCAAAGUAAACAUUCUUCCUUUUUAUCUGACCACCUCAGGGCCUUUGAAGCAAUGAACUCUGAAUGUCAAUGAACACAACAAAGGUCUAAUUUUUGGCAUUUAAAUAUCACAUUAGAACCAAAAGAGCUCAAAGCUGAUAAAGAAGUGGUUAAUUACAGGGCAAGGGCAGGAAAAAAAAAAAGUAAUAUAAAGUGCCCAG
rnacentral:lncRNA from 1 species